CAGAAGUUGCACUGUGAAGUCCAGAGGGACAGCCUUAGUGAGCCCUGACACUUUAUGACAAACUGAACCAUGAAGUUCCAGAAAGGAUUCAGUUGGGAUAGCUAAAUGCAUGCCAAAAACAAAACUGCUCCUUGGAUUUUUUCAAUCAAGUAGCACUAUAUUUGGACUGGAAACAGCCUGUGGACAAGCAGGAAUAACUAUUAGAAGGCAAGUGAAAAGUUCCAAGCAGAUGAUACUACAGUCAAGGAAGAAACAAUUUGAGCGUAUCUGGGCACGUUUCCAUACUGACUCAAGCAACACUUUUUCCCAUGACAUCAGACUCAAAACAACCAAUGUAUUAUAGCCCAUAUGUUGAUUAAAGAAAACCCAAGCAGUGCAGAGACAUGCACCAGCCUACAGAACACCGACUGAACAAAAACUGGACUGCUUGCAAGACAUGGAAGUUAAUAAAACAAAUAAAAAGCCCCAAGUUUUCAGGAUAAGAAGCCUGGGUAAGACUUCUCAGCAAGAUGAGGUUGUGAAUACUGAGACAACUACAGCUUGGCAGAAUCAGAGAAACCCACUAGGCAGGAUAACCUACAGUUUUGUCAAGUCCAAGGAAAGUUAAUUGGUUAAUUCUGAAGCAACAACAACAACAACAAAAAAAAAGAACUGAGAGAAGCAAACAGAAGUUGUACACAAUUCACUGUUCUUAAAGAUAUAUUUUUUCAGGUCAGGGGGCCUAAUGUGAAUCAAACUAUUCAGAGAAGGAAAGACUGAGUGACAAAAACGUGGAGAACAAAGCAGGAACAGAGGAAACUAGAUCAAGUCAACAGAAAACAAGUUCGUGAGUGGAUUUGGUUGCCAAAAUAUCUUCCCAUAUCUCCCUCUCAUGACCUCUAGUAAAUUAUAUCCCACGCUGUUCUUCCUCCCCACAGAGCCAGAACGAACAUUUACUUUCCUUUGGCUCAAAGCAUGAUUUCAAUGCAGGAAAGCCAAGCAAGCUAAAAAAGAUUUGCAAAAACAGACUGACAGAUCCUGUCACCGAUUACUUCAACAACGUCUCUCAAAAGCGUUCUCCAGGGCAGCCCAGGAGCUGAGCUGAACGCACCUCUCACUGGCUCCAACCAGGAGACACUGAGCAGGCUGUGAGACCUCCAGCAUGAGGACGUGACUGACUGCAAGAGGACAUAAGCAUCCUGCUGUAAUGCUGACAACUGUCUAUCUUGGAGUCUGCAACUUCCUGAAAUCCCUUCCAACAUAAAUAUUCAAAGAUUUUACCGACAUCUUUAAGAUUUUAACUCUUUUUUUUUUUUUUUUAAUAAACCUGAGUUGAACAAGGAUAGAGGAACAAAACCUCUCUAGAAAUACACAGAGCACGAUUAAGAAGUAUGCUGUAAUAAAACCUUUAAGUGAGCUGUAAGUAACCAUUAAACAUGUAAUAACACACCUUACCACAGCCAGCAACGAAACUGAGUACUGAACCCUACAGUCAGAACAAAUUAACUUUGCAUAGAUGUCUUGACAAUCAGUUAUUCAAAUAUAAAAAAAAAUAAAGGACUGUUGUCUACAGUGCAAGACACGCGUUGCCACGUGAAAAACUCAUUCACAGCUUUCUUCUGUAGAUUGCUUUAAUUUAAUCUGAU
rnacentral:lncRNA from 1 species